AAUCAGAGGUGAUUUCCAGGCAUGUUUUCACUCUGCAGAUAUAAUAACAGUCAACAGACUCUUCUAUUGGCUCCAGUCACACCAACAUUGAUGUUUGAUUGUAUGCAAACUCAGUGAGCUUCCUUGUUCCUCAGCUAUAAAAACUUCACAUCAGGCUGUCAGUGGAGUUCACAGCACGUCAGUUUCAACAUAAACCAUGUUUUCUGUAGCUCUGCUGCUGCUGUUGGCAGCUGGAUGUGUGAAGUGUGAACAGUUGACACAGCCAGCCUCUGUGACUGUGCAGCCAGGUCAACGUCUGACCAUCACCUGUCAGGUCUCUUAUGAUGUUAGCAGCUACUACACAAACUGGAUCAGACAGCCUGCAGGGAAAGAACUGGAGUGGAUUGGAAUGAGAGCUGGAUCCUACACAUACUACAAAGAUUCUCUGAAGAACAAGUUCAGUAUUGAUUUAGACUCCUCCAGCAAAACAGUGACUCUAAAUGGACAGAAUGUGCAGCCUGAAGACUCUGCUGUGUAUUUCUGUGCCAGAGAGACACAGUGAGAAACAACAAGAGGAGACUCAUACAAAAACUAGUUCCUCUAUUUACACCACUGGGAACAUUCAGUUGUGUCGGUAUCAAUUAAUUAAUUUAACAAUAAUAAUAAUAAUAAUAAUUAUUAUUAUUAUUAUUAUUAUUACUGAUCAAAUUUUCUUUAUCAUUGUGGUAAAACUGUGUCCAUGUGCCUUUUUAAGUAUAUACAUGAAGAUCAUGCUUCUGAUAUUGAAAUUUACAUUCUGGCAAAUUUUAAAAAUGUAAAGAUUUACACAUUAUUUUAAAUGGAAGUUCGAAGUUACAACGAUGUAUUGCUCAUUGCAAGAAAUUGCAGAUAUUUUAUAUAAAAAAGACUCAAAUAGCAAGUCCAGUCAGACCACAGCAGCCUCCCAGUUUACUGACGUCCAGACUGUGACUACGCUGAGAUGAGAAAACCAGAGAACUGAAGCCAGCAGGAACGAUCUGCUGUGCUGCUUGGCUGAACAUGAAAGAGCAACAAGUGCAGAUGUUUCUCUGAUUAAAAGACCAACUUAAACAUUCAUUGUUGCAUCAAUAGUUCAAUUUUUAUUUGCUCGUGCAAUUUUGUUUUAAUUUUAUUUACAGCAAUAAUUGUUUAGUUUAUUUUGACAUAUUUUGUUCAGGGUUCUUCAGCUUCCUUGACAAGGUGAAAAGGUCUUUAAAUGGUUGUGAAAAAUAUUUUUAAUUGAAAAUACUUUUAUUGUUCUUGUUGCUUUUUAAGCAGUAUAGUUUAGGACGAGCAGUUUAUCAUAUUAUUAUCCAGUGAUGGUCUGAAUAAAUGAUGUCAACAAGCAUUCAGUUGGCUGGUGAUGCAUGAGUAUAUUAAGAAUAAAUGAACAGUGAAAAUGCUUGCAAACUCAUCAAAAAAGA